GAGGCAAAAAGAGAGGAGGGGGUGAGGCAACAGGAGGCCUAGAUGAAACCCUUGGAGCCAGUGAUACAGGUCCCUGAAGACUCUUCCUCCAUCCCCAGGACCAGAGUCCUUAAGACCCUGCUAACCAUGAAGAUUCAAGACUUAGUUGAACCUGUGGUGGAAGAAGCAAAAGGCUAAGCUACAGAAAGCUCUCGAGCCACACUCCCCUCCCAUCCCAAACCAAGGAACCCAAAGUUCGGAAUUGUCCAACUGGACAAAACCAACAACAGUAGUCCCUCACCCCUCUCAUCAGGACUUGACUAGAGAAUUGCCAGAGAAUGGUACCAUCAGCCCCAUCCUCAAUAAAAGUGGAUUAAGAUCAA